rnacentral:rRNA from 1 species
ACCCGCUGAACUUAAGCAUAUCAAUAAGCGGAGGAAAAGAAACCAACAGGGAUUGCCUCAGUAACGGCGAGUGAAGCGGCAACAGCUCAAAUUUGAAAUCUGGAGCCUUCGGCUUCCGAGUUGUAAUUUGAAGAGGAUGUUUCGGUGCGACCUGGGCCUAAGUUCCUUGGAACAGGACGUCAUGGAGGGUGAGAAUCCCGUACAUGGCUGCAGGUCUGCUUCCGUGUGAAACUCCUUCGAAGAGUCGAGUUGUUUGGGAAUGCAGCUCAAAAUGGGUGGUAAAUUUCAUCUAAAGCUAAAUAUUGGGGGGAGACCGAUAGCGCACAAGUAGAGUGAUCGAAAGAUGAAAAGCACUUUGAAAAGAGAGUUAAACAGUACGUGAAAUUGUUGAAAGGGAAGCGCUUGCAAUCAGACUCGCUUUCGGUUGAUCAGCCUUCCUUCUGGUUGGUGCACUCUGCCGUUGGUGGGCCAGCAUCGGUUGGGGCGGCGGGACAAAGGUGGCAGGAAUGUGGCUCGCUUCGGUGAGUGUUAUAGCCUGCUGCGUCAUGCCGCCAGCCCCGACCGAGGUCCGCGGUUCUGCCUAGGAUGCUGGCAUAAUGGUUGUAAGCGACCCGUCUUGAAACACGG